GGGUGCAGCAUCUGUGGUCAUAUGUCGGAGAGAGGCAGAAGGGGAAGGAAUUAUGGGAGAAGGAAACAGUUGUAAAGUUUGGUUUAGUGGGUGCAACAUCUGUGGUCAUAUGUCGGAGAGAGGCAGAAGGGGAAGGAAUUAUAGGUGAAGGGAACAGUUGGAAAGUUUGGUUUAGUGGGUGCAACAUCUGUGGUCAUAUGCCGGAGAGAGGCAGAAGGGGAAGGAAUUAUAGGUGAAGGGAACAGUUGGAAAGUUUGGUUUAGUGGGUGCAACAUCUGUGGUCAUAUGCCGGAGAGAGGCAGAAGGGGAAGGAAUUAUGAGUGAAGGGAACAGUUGGAAAGUUUGGUUUAGUGGGUGCAACAUCUGUGGUCAUAUGCCAGAGAGAGGCAGAAGGGGAAGGAAUUAUAGGAGAAGGGAACAGACCCCAGGAGACGGGACACAACCCCCGAUUAAUACCUGCUACACUACUGGGUGGACAGGGGCUAUGUUGGGUAUCGGAAAAGCUGCCCAAAUUUUUCAACUCCACCAUGGAAUCGAACCCGGGCUCUCUCGGUUGUGUGCCGAGUGUGCUAACCACUGCACCACGAAGCCCCCUAGCACAAAUGGAUGCCCAGCCUUAAUGAUUUUCAGGUUGAGCCGAGGCAUGUUGAGGCUCUGCUUGAAGACCAACAGCCUGAGAGUCUUCACCAACACGCUGGCUGGUCACUGUCAUCCAAAGAGUCCUCGGCAGCACAGGCCAGCCAGCAC